AGUGAACGCUGGCGGCAGGCCUAACACAUGCAAGUCGAACGGCAGGACAGUAAGAGCUUGCUCUUACGGGUGGCGAGUGGCGGACGGGUGAGGAAUACAUCGGAAUCUACUUUUUCGUGGGGGAUAACGUAGGGAAACUGACGCUAAUACCGCAUACGACCUACGGGAGAAAGCAAGGGAUCUUCGGACCUUGGGCGACAGAAUGAGCCGAUGUCGGCUUAGCUAGUUGGCGGGGUAAAGGACCACCAAGGCGACGAACCGUUGCUGGUCUGAGAGGAUGAUCAGCCACCCUGGAACUGAGGCACGGUCCCGGCUCCUACGGGAGGCCGCCGUGGGGAAUAUUUGACCAUGGGCCGAAGCCUUGUCCAGCCAUCCCGCGUGGGGUAAGAAGGCUUUCCGGUUGUAAAGCCCUUUUGUUGGGAAAGAAAAGCAGCAGGUUAAUACCCCGCUGUUCUGACGGUACCCAAAGCAUAAGCACCGGCUAACUUCGUG
rnacentral:rRNA from 1 species